UGCAGUCGAGCGAACUGAUUAGAAGCUUGCUUCUAUGACGUUAGCGGCGGACGGGUGAGUAACACGUGGGCAACCUGCCUGUAAGACUGGGAUAACUUCGGGAAACCGAAGCUAAUACCGGAUAGGAUCUUCUCCUUCAUGGGAGAUGAUUGAAAGAUGGUUUCGGCUAUCACUUACAGAUGGGCCCGCGGUGCAUUAGCUAGUUGGUGAGGUAACGGCUCACCAAGGCAACGAUGCAUAGCCGACCUGAGAGGGUGAUCGGCCACACUGGGACUGAGACACGGCCCAGACUCCUACGGGAGGCAGCAGUAGGGAAUCUUCCGCAAUGGACGAAAGUCUGACGGAGCAACGCCGCGUGAGUGAUGAAGGCUUUCGGGUCGUAAAACUCUGUUGUUAGGGAAGAACAAGUACGAGAGUAACUGCUCGUACCUUGACGGUACCUAACCAGAAAGCCACGGCUAACUACGUGCCAGCAGCCGCGGUAAUACGUAGGUGGCAAGCGUUAUCCGGAAUUAUUGGGCGUAAAGCGCGCGCAGGCGGUUUCUUAAGUCUGAUGUGAAAGCCCACGGCUCAACCGUGGAGGGUCAUUGGAAACUGGGGAACUUGAGUGCAGAAGAGAAAAGCGGAAUUCCACGUGUAGCGGUGAAAUGCGUAGAGAUG
rnacentral:rRNA from 1 species